GACGAACGCUGGCGGCGUGCCUAAUACAUGCAAGUAGAACGCACAGUUUAUACCGUAGCUUGCUACACCAUAGACUGUGAGCUGCGAACGGGUGAGUAACGCGUAGGUAACCUGCCUGGUAGCGGGGGAUAACUAUUGGAAACGAUAGCUAAUACCGCAUAAUAUUAAUUAUUGCAUGAUAAUUAAUUGAAAGGUGCAAUUGCACCACUACCAGAUGGACCUGCGUUGUAUUAGCUAGUAGGUGAGGUAACGGCUCACCUAGGCGACGAUACAUAGCCGACCUGGGAGGGUGAUCGGCCACACUGGGACUGAGACACGGCCCAGACUCCUACGGGAGGCAGCAGUAGGGAAUCUUCGGCAAUGGACGAAAGUCUGACCGAGCAACGCCGCGUGAGUGAAGAAGGUUUUCGGAUCGUAAAGCUCUGUUGUAAGAGAAGAACGGGUGUGAGAGUGGAAAGUUCACACUGUGACGGUAUCUUACCAGAAAGGGACGGCUAACUACGUG
rnacentral:rRNA from 1 species